rnacentral:rRNA from 1 species
AAAGGGUAGCCUACCAUGCAAGUCGAGCGAGCUCUUCGGAGCUAGCGGCGGACGGGUUAGUAACGCGUGGGAACGUGCCCUUCACUGCGGAAUAGCCACUGGAAACGGUGAGUAAUACCGCAUACGCCCUUCGGGGGAAAGAUUUAUCGGUGAAGGAUCGGCCCGCGUUAGAUUAGAUAGUUGGUGGGGUAACGGCCUACCAAGUCUACGAUCUAUAGCUGGUUUUAGAGGAUGAUCAGCAACACUGGGACUGAGACACGGCCCAGACUCCUACGGGAGGCAGCAGUGGGGAAUCUUGGACAAUGGGCGCAAGCCUGAUCCAGCCAUGCCGCGUGAGUGAUGAAGGCCUUAGGGUCGUAAAGCUCUUUCGCCAGAGAUGAUAAUGACAGUAUCUGGUAAAGAAACCCCGGCUAACUCCGUGCCAGCAGCCGCGGUAAUACGGAGGGGGUUAGCGUUGUUCGGAAUUACUGGGCGUAAAGCGCACGUAGGCGGAUCAGAAAGUUGGGGGUGAAAUCCCGGGGCUCAACCCCGGAACUGCCUCCAAAACUCCUGGUCUUGAGUUCGAGAGAGGUGAGUGGAAUUCCGAGUGUAGAGGUGAAAUUCGUAGAUA